rnacentral:rRNA from 1 species
GACGAACGCUGGCGACGUGCCUAAUACAUGCAAGUAGAACGCACAGUUUAUACCGUAGCUUGCUACACCAUAAACUGUGAGUUGCGAACGGGUGAGUAACGCGUAGGUAACCUGCCUGGUAGCGGGGGAUAACUAUUGGAAACGAUAGCUAAUACCGCAUAAUAUUGAUUAUUGCAUGAUAAUUGAUUGAAAGAUGCUAUUGCAUCACUACCAGAUGGACCUGCGUUGUAUUAGCUAGUAGGUGAGGUAACGGCUCACCUAGGCGACGAUACAUAGCCGACCUGAGAGGGUGAUCGGCCACACUGGGACUGAGACACGGCCCAGACUCCUACGGGAGGCAGCAGUAGGGAAUCUUCGGCAAUGGACGAAAGUCUGACCGAGCAACGCCGCGUGAGUGAAGAAGGUUUUCGGAUCGUAAAGCUCUGUUGUAAGAGAAGAACGGGUGUGAGAGUGGAAAGUUCACACUGUGACGGUAUCUUACCAGAAAGGGACGGCUAACUACGUG